UUGUAAUAUUAUGCUUGGUGUUUAUGCAGGACAUCCCCGUCAAACAAUGAAGAAUCAACUCCAAUCAAUCUUAGUGACCCAUUAUUCGAUGAAUUUAAUAGCAUGCAUGGACCUACCAAGUGAUUUAUGUUUUUACUAUACGAAGCUCAUUUGCUGUCAAUAUUGGUGAGCAUUUUGAAACAUGAUUCAAUAUGAAGAAAUCUUAUUAUUUUGUGUUGUUUCGUUUUGUAUCAGCUUUUAUGUUUUUUUUCUUGAUUGGUUUUGGUUUUCUUUGAAGUUUUUUUGUUUCUCGAUUGGUGGUGUUAAUUUUUUGGAGCCUUUCUUUCUUGCUUUCUUUUGCCUUUGUAUUUUUCUGAUGUUAGGUGUUUUAGGAUUUUUCUUUCUUUUAAAUAAUCUCCCUCUUGAGAUAUUUGACAAUUCUUUUUUAUGGCAGUUGGACCUAGAUUUUUGGCUUAUGGAAGAUUGUUGUUGUUGAGAACCUUCAUUAAUUUGGCUUUUUUUUUUAAUGACAGUUGGACCUAUCAACUCUUAAUUUUGACAAUGCGAAUGAAAGGCUGUCACAUCCUUUUUUGAGAAAAGACGCUAUAUACAUUCGGUGUAUUUGCAUGUAUAUUGUUCGUCUAUUGCUUGUUAUUGCAAGCUUAUUUUCCAAGGUGCGACUCGCCACCUCCAUCGUUGGCCUCCAAAACGAAGCCAUAAUCGUGACUCUCCACCUUCGUCGUCGAUUUCCACCACAAACCUCAUCUUCGAUCUUCACUGUGAUGGAAGAUUGUCUUGUUUCAAUUGGCGGCGUUCUUUUGGGGAGGAAAUUGCUAACUUUCAGCUUAAAUUCGGGUCUAAGAGGACAUGUCUUGGAAUUUUUCUUAUACAUAUGAAUUGUGUUAAAAUUCUAGACCAAGAGGAGAUGAAAUUUUUUUGUUUUUUGCCACUUUCUUAUGUAUAUCUUAAGAUGUAAUGAGAUAACAUUGUUAGUUCAUCAAUUUAUGAAAGUCAAGUUAGAAGGAAA